rnacentral:rRNA from 1 species
UACGUAGGGUGCGAGCGUUGUCCGGAAUUAUUGGGCGUAAAGAGCUUGUAGGCGGUUUGUCGCGUCUGCUGUGAAAAUCCGGGGCUCAACCCCGGACUUGCAGUGGGUACGGGCAGACUAGAGUGUGGUAGGGGAGACUGGAAUUCCUGGUGUAGCGGUGAAAUGCGCAGAUAUCAGGAGGAACACCGGUGGCGAAGGCGGUUCUCUGGGCCUAUUCUGACGCUGAGGAGCGAAAGCAUGGGGAGCGAACAGGAUUAGAUACCCGGGUAGUCCCU